rnacentral:rRNA from 1 species
UACGUAGGGUGCAAGCGUUGUCCGGAAUUAUUGGGCGUAAAGGGCUCGUAGGCGGUCCAUCGCGUCGGGUGUGAAAAGCUGGGGCUUAACCCCAGUCCUGCUUCCGAUACGGGUGGACUAGAGGUAUGCAGGGGAGAACGGAAUUCCUGGUGUAGCGGUGAAAUGCGCAGAUAUCAGGAGGAACACCGGUGGCGAAGGCGGUUCUCUGGGCAUUACCUGACGCUGAGGAGCGAAAGCAUGGGGAGCAAACAGG